rnacentral:misc_RNA from 1 species
GAUGAAGAACGUAGCGAAAUGCGAUAAGUAAUGUGAAUUGCAGAAUUCAGUGAAUCAUCGAAUCUUUGAACGCACCUUGCGCUCCUUGGCAUUCCGAGGAGCAUGCCUGUUUGAGUGUCAUUAAAUUCUCAAGACCUGUCUGCUUUUUUGAGAGGUAUUGGAUUUUGGGGGUUGCAGGCUGUUUCAAAUAAAUAGCCUUGCUCUCCUUGAAUGUAUUAGUGGAGAAAAGCCAUUGAACUCCAUUGGUGUGAUAAAACCUAUCAAUGCCAGGAGCAAUAUCACUACUUCUCUCUGCUGUCUAACUGUGACUGUCUGUAUUAAUUAGUAUGGAUGGGGACAACUUGACCAACUUGACCUCAAAUCAGGUAGGACUACCCGCUGAACUUAAGCAUAUCAAUAAGCGGAGGA